UACAGAGGGUGCAAGCGUUAAUCGGAUUUACUGGGCGUAAAGGGCGCGUAGGUGGUUGCGUAAGUGAGAUGUGAAAUCCCCGGGCUCAACCUGGGAACUGCAUCUUAUACUGCGUAGCUUGAGUGCAAUAGAGGGUAGUGGAAUUUCCGGUGUAGCGGUGAAAUGCGUAGAUAUCGGAAGGAACACCAGUGGCGAAGGCGGCUACCUGGAUUGACACUGACACUGAGGCGCGAAAGCGUGGGGAGCAAACAGG
rnacentral:rRNA from 1 species